AGAGACAGCAGUAGCCGCGGUAAAACAGAGGGUGCGAGCGUUAAUCGGAUUUACUGGGCGUAAAGCGUGCGUAGGCGGCUUUUUAAGUCGGAUGUGAAAUCCCUGAGCUUAACUUAGGAAUUGCAUUCGAUACUGGGAAGCUAGAGUAUGGGAGAGGAUGGUAGAAUUCCAGGUGUAGCGGUGAAAUGCGUAGAGAUCUGGAGGAAUACCGAUGGCGAAGGCAGCCAUCUGGCCUAAUACUGACGCUGAGGUACGAAAGCAUGGGGAGCAAACAGGAUUAGAUACCCCGGUAGUCCCUGUCUCUUAUAC
rnacentral:rRNA from 1 species